rnacentral:rRNA from 1 species
AGGUUAAGUGAAUAAGGGCGCACGGUGGAUGCCUUGGCACUAGGAGCCGAUGAAGGACGGGACUAACACCGAUAUGCUUUGGGGAGCUGUAAGUAAGCUAUGAUCCAGAGAUUUCCGAAUGGGGGAACCCAAUAUCUUUUAUAGGAUAUUACUUUUCAGUGAAUACAUAGCUGAUUAGAGGUAGACGCAGAGAACUGAAACAUCUUAGUACCUGCAGGAAGAGAAAGAAAAUUCGAUUCCCUGAGUAGCGGCGAGCGAAACGGGAAGAGCCCAAACCAACAAGCUUGCUUGUUGGGGUUGUAGGACUCCAACAUGGUAGUCUGUUAGUAUAGUUGAAGGAUUUGGAAAAUUCCGCUAAAGAGGGUGAAAGCCCCGUAGACGAAAUGCUGACAACACCUAGGAGGAUCCUGAGUACGGCGGAACACGAGAAAUUCCGUCGGAAUCCGCGGGGACCAUCCCGCAAGGCUAAAUACUCCCUAGUGACCGAUAGUGAACCAGUACCGUGAGGGAAAGGUGAAAAGCACCCCGGAAGGGGAGUGAAAUAGAUCCUGAAACCGUGUGCCUACAACAAGUCAAAGCUCGUUAAUGAGUGAUGGCGUGCCUUUUGUAGAAUGAACCGGCGAGUUACGAUUGCAUGCGAGGUUAAGUCGAAGAGACGGAGCCGCAGCGAAAGCGAGUCUGAAUAGGGCGAAUGAGUAUGUAGUCGUAGACCCGAAACCAUGUGAUCUACCCAUGUCCAGGUUGAAGGUGCGGUAAAACGCACUGGAGGACCGAACCCACGUACGUUGAAAAGUGCGGGGAUGAGGUGUGGGUAGCGGAGAAAUUCCAAACGAACUUGGAGAUAGCUGGUUCUCUCCGAAAUAGCUUUAGGGCUAGCCUCGGAAUUGAGAAUGAUGGAGGUAGAGCACUGUUUGGACUAGGGGCCCAUCUCGGGUUACCGAAUUCAGAUAAACUCCGAAUGCCAUUCAUUUAUAUCCGGGAGUCAGACUGCGAGUGAUAAGAUCCGUAGUCGAAAGGGAAACAGCCCAGACCACCAGCUAAGGUCCCAAAAUAUAUGUUAAGUGGAAAAGGAUGUGGGGUUGCACAGACAACUAGGAUGUUGGCUUAGAAGCAGCCACCAUUUAAAGAGUGCGUAAUAGCUCACUAGUCGAGUGACCCUGCGCCGAAAAUGUACCGGGGCUAAACAUAUUACCGAAGCUGUGGACUACACCAUUAGGUGUAGUGGUAGGAGAGCGUUCUAAGGGCGUUGAAGGUCGAUCGUGAGGACGGCUGGAGCGCUUAGAAGUGAGAAUGCCGGUAUGAGUAGCGAAAGACAGGUGAGAAUCCUGUCCACCGUAUGACUAAGGUUUCCUGGGGAAGGCUCGUCCGCCCAGGGUUAGUCGGGACCUAAGCCGAGGCCGAUAGGCGUAGGCGAUGGACAACAGGUUGAUAUUCCUGUACCAGUUGUUUUUGUUUGAGCAAUGGAGGGACGCAGUAGGCUAAGGAAUGCAUGCGAUUGGAAGUGCAUGUCCAAGCAAUGAGUCUUGAGUAGAGUUAAAUGCUUUACUCUCUAAGGACAAGUUGUGACGGGGAGCGAAAUAAUAGUAGCGAAGUUCCUGAUGUCACACUGCCAAGAAAAGCUUCUAGUGAGAAAACAACUGCCCGUACCGUAAACCGACACAGGUAGUCGAGGAGAGUAUCCUAAGGUGAGCGAGCGAACUCUCGUUAAGGAACUCGGCAAAAUGACCCCGUAACUUCGGGAGAAGGGGUGCUGACUUCGGUCAGCCGCAGUGAAUAGGCCCAAGCGACUGUUUAUCAAAAACACAGGUCUCUGCAAAAUCGUAAGAUGAAGUAUAGGGGCUGACGCCUGCCCGGUGCUGGAAGGUUAAGAGGAUGGGUUAGCUUCGGCGAAGCUCAGAAUUGAAGCCCCAGUAAACGGCGGCCGUAACUAUAACGGUCCUAAGGUAGCGAAAUUCCUUGUCGGGUAAGUUCCGACCCGCACGAAAGGCGUAACGAUUUGGGCACUGUCUCAACGAGAGACUCGGUGAAAUUUUAGUACCUGUGAAGAUGCAGGUUACCCGCGACAGGACGGAAAGACCCCAUGGAGCUUUACUGUAGUUUGAUAUUGAGUGUUUGUACCACAUGUACAGGAUAGGUAGGAGCCGAUGAGACCGGAACGCUAGUUUCGGAGGAGGCGCUGGUGGGAUACUACCCUUGUGUUAUGAACCCUCUAACCCGCACCACUAAUCGUGGUGGGAGACAGUGUCAGAUGGGCAGUUUGACUGGGGCGGUCGCCUCCUAAAAGGUAACGGAGGCGCCCAAAGGUUCCCUCAGAAUGGUUGGAAAUCAUUCGAAGAGUGUAAAGGCAGAAGGGAGCUUGACUGCGAGACCUACAAGUCGAGCAGGGACGAAAGUCGGGCUUAGUGAUCCGGUGGUUCCGCAUGGAAGGGCCAUCGCUCAACGGAUAAAAGCUACCCUGGGGAUAACAGGCUUAUCUCCCCAAGAGUCCACAUCGACGGGGAGGUUUGGCACCUCGAUGUCGGCUCGUCGCAUCCUGGGGCUGUAGUCGGUCCCAAGGGUUGGGCUGUUCGCCCAUUAAAGCGGCACGCGAGCUGGGUUCAGAACGUCGUGAGACAGUUCGGUCCCUAUCCGUCGCGGGCGUUGGAAAUUUGAGAGGAGCUGUCCUUAGUACGAGAGGACCGGGAUGGACUUACCGCUGGUGUACCAGUUGUUCUGCCAAGGGCAUUGCUGGGUAGCUAUGUAGGGAAGGGAUAAACGCUGAAAGCAUCUAAGUGUGAAGCCCACCUCAAGAUGAGAUUUCCCAUUUCUUUAAGAAAGUAAGACCCCUGAGAGAUGAUCAGGUAGAUAGGUUGGAAGUGGAAGGCUAGUGAUAGUUGGAGCGGACCAAUACUAAUCGGUCGAGGACUUAACCAAA